rnacentral:rRNA from 1 species
UAAUGCAGUCGAGCGGACAGAUGGGAGCUUGCUCCCUGAUGUUAGCGGCGGACGGGUGAGUAACACGUGGGUAACCUGCCUGUAAGACUGGGAUAACUCCGGGAAACCGGGGCUAAUACCGGAUGGUUGUUUGAACCGCAUGGUUCAGACAUAAAAGGUGGCUUCGGCUACCACUUACAGAUGGACCCGCGGCGCAUUAGCUAGUUGGUGAGGUAACGGCUCACCAAGGCGACGAUGCGUAGCCGACCUGAGAGGGUGAUCGGCCACACUGGGACUGAGACACGGCCCAGACUCCUACGGGAGGCAGCAGUAGGGAAUCUUCCGCAAUGGACGAAAGUCUGACGGAGCAACGCCGCGUGAGUGAUGAAGGUUUUCGGAUCGUAAAGCUCUGUUGUUAGGGAAGAACAAGUGCCGUUCAAAUAGGGCGGCACCUUGACGGUACCUAACCAGAAAGCCACGGCUAACUACGUGCCAGCAGCCGCGGUAAUACGUAGGUGGCAAGCGUUGUCCGGAAUUAUUGGGCGUAAAGGGCUCGCAGGCGGUUUCUUAAGUCUGAUGUGAAAGCCCCCGGCUCAACCGGGGAGGGUCAUUGGAAACUGGGGAACUUGAGUGCAGAAGAGGAGAGUGGAAUUCCACGUGUAGCGGUGAAAUGCGUAGAGAUGUGGAGGAACACCAGUGGCGAAGGCGACUCUCUGGUCUGUAACUGACGCUGAGGAGCGAAAGCGUGGGGAGCGAACAGGAUUAGAUACCCUGGUAGUCCACGCCGUAAACGAUGAGUGCUAAGUGUUAGGGGUUUCCGCCCCUUAGUGCUGCAGCUAACGCAUUAAGCACUCCGCCUGGGGAGUACGGUCGCAAGACUGAAACUCAAAGGAAUUGACG